GGGCCAGACUCCUACGGGAGGCAGCAGUGGGGAAUAUUGCACAAUGGGGGAAACCCUGAUGCAGCGACGCCGCGUGAGCGAUGAAGUAUUUCGGUAUGUAAAGCUCUAUCAGCAGGGAAGAAGAUGACGGUACCUGACUAAGAAGCCCCGGCUAACUACGUGCCAGCAGCCGCGGUAAUACGUAGGGGGCAAGCGUUAUCCGGAUUUACUGGGUGUAAAGGGAGCGUAGACGGCGAUGCAAGCCAGAUGUGAAAGCCCGGGGCUCAACCCCGGGACUGCAUUUGGAACUGUGUGGCUGGAGUGUCGGAGAGGCAGGCGGAAUUCCUAGUGUAGCGGUGAAAUGCGUAGAUAUUAGGAGGAACACCAGUGGCGAAGGCGGCCUGCUGGACAAUGACUGACGUUGAGGCUCGAAAGCGUGGGUAGCAAACAGGAUUAGAUACCCGCGUAU
rnacentral:rRNA from 1 species